AUGAGCCCUUGUGUUCUACUUUCGCCCUUUUGGCUCUCCCCCAGCACCGUGGCAGUUGGCAAGAACAAGCGCCUGACGAAAGGCGGCAAGAAGCGAGCCAAGAAAAAAGUAGUUGAUCCAUUUUCGAAGAAAGAUUGGUAUGAUGUGAAAGCUCUGGCUAUAUUCAAUAUUAGAAACAUUGGAAAGACACUAGUCAGGAGGACUCAAGGAACAAAAUCGCAUCUGAUGGCCUCAAGGGUCGUGUGUUUGAAGUGAGCCUUGCUGAUCUACAGAAUGAUGAAGGGCAAAAACUGUCUGACUAACGUCCAUGGCAUGGAUCUUACCUGGGACAAAAUGUGUUCCAUGGUCAAAAAGUGGCAGACCAUGAUUGAAGCUCAUGUGGAUGUCAAGACAACUGAUGGUUAUUUGCUCCAUCUGUUCUGUGUUGGUUUCACUAAAAAACACAACAACCAGAUACACAAGACCUCUUAUGCACAGCACCAGCAGGUCUGCCAGAUCAGAAAGAAGAUGAUGGAAAUCAUGACCCGAGAAGUGCAGACAAAUGACUUGAAGGAAGUGGUUAAUAAAUUGAUUCCAGACAGCAUUGGGAAAGACAUAGAAAAGGCUUGCCAGUCCAUUUAUCCUCUUCAUGAUGUCUUCGUUAGAAAAGUAAAAAUGCUGAAGAAACCCAAGUUUGAAUUGGGAAAACUCAUGGAGCUCCAUGGUGAAGGUGGUUCUGGAAAAGCUACUGGUGAUGAGACAGCUGCUAAAGUUGAGCGAGCAGAUGGAUAUGAACCACCAAUCCAAGAAUAUGUUUGAAAUCCAGAUUUCUAAUAGUGACAAAUAAAAGUCUUAUUUGUGAUGAAAAAAAAAAGAGACCAUAAUCAAUCUCUCCUAAUUUGUACCUUUGGGCAUGUAACUUUUUUUAGACCUAUUUUGUCUCCUAAAUAAUUAAUUAAAUCUCUUUGUAUUUUCAGGAGCAAUUUAUAAUCCUCAACAAGGCAAAAUUUUCCUUACUUCUUCAAACGUUCUUUCUAUAUUCUCUGCAUUUGAAUCAGCUAAUAAAAUACCAUCCAUGUAAUGAUAAAUUAUAGAUUUAGGAAAUUGUUUAUGUAUUACUUCCAAUGGCUGUUGUACAAAAUAUUGCCAAGUGUUGGGCUAUUUAACAUUCCCUGUGGGAGAACCCUCCAUUGAUAUCUCUUAACCGGUUGAGAAUUAUUAUAAGUAGGCACCAUGAAAGUAAAUCUUUGUCUUUUUCUUGUAAGGGGAGUGACAAGAAACAGUCAUUUAAAUUGAUAACUAUAAGAGGCUAUCCUUUAGGCAAAUCCUUUAGGCUAUUCUUUAGGCUAUCCUUUAGGCAAAGGAAUUCCAGAUUUUAGAGAGCCCAUUAACUGAAUUACUUUGUUAAUUGCUCUUAGGUCUGUUACAAUUCUCCAUUUACCAAAUUUCUUUUUAAUAUCAAGUACAGGUUGAUUCUUAAAUAUGGUGAGCAUUUAACUGCUCUUGUACCAGCUCUUCUAAAGCCUGCAGUUUCUUUGUUGUUAAAGGCCAUUGCUGAACACAUACAGGCUUGUCUGUUAACCAUUUUAAAGGUAGAGCUGUUGGUGUCUUUGAAAGACCAGCAGUUGUUGUGCCCUAUCCUUGUACAAUCUGGGUGGCCAGUAACUGUUCUUUAUAAUAAUAUCUCCUAAUAUUUCUCUCAGAAACAUGUGUUUGUCUCUGAGGUUGGAGGGAUGUUAAUCUGAGUAUUCUGUUGUUAUAAUAAAUCAUGGCAUCACAAAUUCAUAGCUAUAUUAGCCACAUAUGGCUUUAAUUUUCCUCUCUGUCCUUCUGGCCCUAUAUCUUCAACCCAUCUUACACUCUGUUUCACUUGAGAUAAUGUUCCAAUUCCUAACAGCUGAACAUUUGCCUCCUGAAGAGACCAAUUUGGAUGCCAAAAUUCUGGUGCAAUUAUUGUAACAUCCACACAUGUGUCUACCAGACCUUCCAAGAGAACAUCAUUUAUUCGUAUUUUUAAUUUUGGUCUUUGUUCAUUUAUAGAAGUUUGACAAAAAAUUUGCUUUAUGGUUUCUCCUGAAUUUCCUUUUCUCUGUGCUACAGCUGUUCUUUUACCCUGAGCAGUAUGUUUUUUUUACAAUAGGCAUUUGAUUAUUAAUUGCUCUAAGAAGGAGUUUCUUCUAUGAUGGCAGGAAAGGACUGAACUGAAUUUGCCAUGAGGGCCUGGGGUAGGCCCCUCAGGGAGUUUCCCAAUGGUAAAGCCAAAGGAUUAUUUUGUCUGUCCCUUGUUGAUCUACAUUUAUUAGUCCAAUGUUUUACCUUUACCACACUUUCUGCAUAAUCCUGAAGGGAGGGGCAUUCUGUUGCCAUUGUUCCUUGAAUAAACAUUGUUUCUAGGAAUACCCUGUUCACAGACCCUAUUCAGAUGACCUUGUUUACUGCAAUGAACAUAUCUGACAUUAUUAUUUUUCCUCAAAGCCUUUGAUAUCAGCUCUCCUAUCUACAUAUCAUCAUGGUCACAAGACUCAAUAUUAGUUGUGUCCCUGAUGCAAUCCUCCAGGGGUGCUGAUCUGGUGUUUAAUGGCCUGAUCACCCUCUGGCAUGCUGCAUUAGCAUGCUGAAAAGCCAAAGAUUCGAUUAUUAUCUGUCUAUCUUCUGAAUUUGGUAUCAUUCUAUUUACUGCUGAAGAUGGUGUUUGUAACAAAUCCAUAAAGACUUCUCUUGGUCUUCAUAUAACUUUUGUAAAUGGUUCAAUUUUCUUCCCUGCUUCCUCAAUUCUCUCCCAUGCAUUCAAGGCUGCCACAUGGCAUAGAGUUAGGGUUUGGUUAUUAUAUAAAAAUUGUCUUUAUAAAUCAGCAUAUUCGCCUUCUCUAAGAAGCUGAUCUUGGGUAACUUCCAUACCUCUAGUCCUACAUAGUUGUUCUAUUGUUUUAACCUCUUCUUUAAACCAUGUUCUCCACUGUAAUUGUGGACUAGUCUCCAGGACAGCUGUAAUUAGUUCCUCCCAGUCAUGUUGGAUAAUUCUAUUGAAAGUUGACCAUGAGUCCAGUUAUUUUGUACCCACCCUUGAUCAUUUGGCAGUUCCCAUAAGGUUACUGGAAAGAUUAAUGUUUGCUGACUGGUAACCUGAAGCUGUUUCUCUGUAACCAUGUAAUUCAACCCUGAGAUAUAUUUACCUUUAAAUUCUUCUGUCUGGGUCUGACUUUCUCAAUAGUUCAUUUUAACAGGUUUUUUAAAGUCAAUCCUGAGAUAGGUUCACUUUUAAAUGCUCAGUCUGGGUCUGUAUUUCUGUAUGAUUCAUUUUAACUGGUUUUUCUAAAGCUUUUAUCUUGGCACUUAAAUUGGCCAACCUUUUUUUUUUUUUUCAAAAAUAAAAAUGACCAAACAAAUAACAUUCCUAACUGAUGUUACAUACAUCCCAUCAACAUUAAUUAUCCUCUUAUUUAAUUGUACUGUUUUCAGACUGUCUAAUAUGUUAUUAAACAGAGACCAAAUUCAUUGCAUUGCAAAAAUGUUUCCCACUUUUUAAUGUGGGAAAAAAAUUCUCUUUUAACUAAUUCCUUCCUUUAGGAUAUCUUAAUCGAUUCAGCAAAUAUGUCGACUGCAUAGAACAGUAGAAGUCUGAGGAAAUUUCAAAGCAGCUUACAUAGUAUGGUACCAAUCGGAGAAGGGAAUCCAUAGAGAGCCCACCACCCACCAGGA